GACGGAGGAUGCAAGUGUUAUCCGGAAUCACUGGGCGUAAAGCGUCUGUAGGUGGCUUAAUAAGUCAACUGUUAAAUCUUGAAGCUCAACUUCAAAAUCGCAGUCGAAACUAUUAGACUAGAGUAUAGUAGGGGUAAAGGGAAUUUCCAGUGGAGCGGUGAAAUGCGUAGAUAUUGGAAAGAACACCGAUGGCGAAAGCACUUUACUGGGCUAUUACUAACACUCAGAGACGAAAGCUAGGGUAGCAAAUGGG
rnacentral:rRNA from 1 species